GAUGAACGCUAGCUACAGGCUUAACACAUGCAAGUCGAGGGGAGACGGCAUCGAAAGCUUGCUUUUGAUGGGCGUCGACCGGCGCACGGGUGAGUAACGCGUAUCCAACCUGCCCAUCACUUGGGAAUAACCUUGCGAAAGUAAGACUAAUGCCCAAUGACAUCCCACGAAGGCAUCCGAAUGGGAUUAAAGAUUUAUCGGUGAUGGAUGGGGAUGCGUCUGAUUAGCUUGUUGGCGGGGUGACGGCCCACCAAGGCAACGAUCAGUAGGGGUUCUGAGAGGAAGGUCCCCCACAUUGGAACUGAGACACGGUCCAAACUCCUACGGGAGGCAGCAGUGAGGAAUAUUGGUCAAUGGGCGAGAGCCUGAACCAGCCAAGUAGCGUGCAGGAUGACGGCCCUAUGGGUUGUAAACUGCUUUUAUAAGGGAAUAAAGUGGGUCACGUGUGACUUUUUGCAUGUACCUUAUGAAUAAGGACCGGCUAAUUCCGUG
rnacentral:rRNA from 1 species